rnacentral:lncRNA from 1 species
GUUUCUGGCAUCCUCAGACUACCACUACUGGGAAAGAAUAAAAGAACAAUGUUAUCAUCAUCUGACUUUUAUGGCAUAAAUGAAAUUGUGAACUCAUCCAUUUGUAAAGGCAAUGACUUCAUCUCUACCCUUUUAUCUAAAAGGAAAUCUAUGCCAAAUGCUCUGAUAAAUGGGAAGAUAUACUUUGACUUGUGAACUGAUGUGAAAUGCAGAAUAUUUGAGCUUUGAGUGUUUUGAAGAUUGAAAAAUCUUGCUCAGCAUGGAUGACCACCAAAAAGCAAUCUAAAGCCAUCUACAUACCACAACUGAGAUAAAUUUGGGAAUGUGCUGCCUAAUGUCAAAUAAAAUGUACUGUUUUGAAAA